rnacentral:rRNA from 1 species
AAUGGCUCAUUAUAACAGCUAUAAUUUACUUGAUCUUGACACAAUCCUACUUGGAUAACUGUGGUAAUUCUAGAGCUAAUACAUGCAUUAAAGCUCCGACCUCACGGGAAGAGUGCAUUUAUUAGAACAAAACCAAGCGGCUUCGGCUGUUUCUGGUUGACUCAUAGUAACUGAGCUGAUCGCAUGGUCUUGCACCGGCGACGUGUCUUUCAAGUAUCUGCCGUAUCAACUUUCGAUGGUAGUGUAUCUGACUACCAUGGUGAUCACGCGUAACGGAGAAUAAGGGUUCGGCUCCGGAGAGUUCGCCUGAGAAAUCGCGAACACAUCUAAGGAAGGCAGCAGGCGCGAAAAUUACCCACUCUCAGCACGAGGAGGUAGUGACGAAAAAUAACGAGACCGUUCUCUCAUGAGGCCGGUCAUCGGAAUGGGUACAAUUUAAACCCUUUAACGAGUAUCUAUGAGAGGGCAAGUCUGGUGCCAGCAGCCGCGGUAAUUCCAGCUCUCAAAGUGCAUAGAAUUAUUGCUGCGGUUAAAAAGCUCGUAGUUGGAUCUGUGCCAUAGGACUGGGUCCACCUUCGGGUGCGUACUCAGCUCCUAGGCUUUUUGCUGGUUUUCCCGUCGUAGCCUUCACUGGUUGCGGCGGGUGGCUGGCGAGUUUACUUUGAGAAAAAUCAGAGUGCUCAAUACAGGCGUAUCGCUUGAAUGAUUGUGCAUGGAAUAAUAGAAAAGGGAUUUCGGUCCUCUUUUAUUGGUUUUGUGGACUGAGAUAAUGGUUAACAGGGACAAACGGGGGCAUUCGUAUCGCUGCGUGAGAGGUGAAAUUCUUGGACCGUAGCGAGACGCCCUACUGCG